rnacentral:lncRNA from 1 species
AGUUGUAACUCAGUUAUCUACUGUGUAACAUACCAGAUUUUGGUAUAAAAAUAAAAAUAAAUAAAAAUAGUGUGAGAAGCUAUUCUUAUUGGAUUUAGAGAAGUAAUACAUAUGUCAGAAAUGACUUGUGCUGAAAUCGGAAUGAAAACAGAAGAUCUAGAAUUUUCUGUUGGAAACGGGACAGAAAAAUUACCAGAAAAUGCACAGUCUCAGAAAAUUAUGAAAAUUGGAGGAUAAGUCAGAAAUAUUUUUAUGAGGCUAGAUUUAAAGUUUCAUAUUUUUCUGACACCCGUAGAGUGAGAAAUAAAAUCUGACAACUAUCUGAUAAAGAUUACAGUUCGGUACAGUUUUCGGUGACCAAAUGGGGUCGAAACUAAAAACUUAAAAUACAUUUUUACUCAGUACGUUAAACUGAGCCUGCCUGUCAAAUUUGAGCUCAAACGGACAUUCAGGAGGGCUCCAACUGUUCCGAACUGCUAAAACUGCCUGGAGUGAAUAGUGUCUUGGGG